AACACAACACGUGUCAAUGUCAGAACAAAGCUAGAAACUCUCUUCUAUAAAAGGAGAUCAUUCUCCCACAAUAUUUCCUAAUGUCAUUUGUACUAAAUCAUUCACUAGUACUCACUAAAGCUGAGCUUGAACCUAUGUACUUGUGUAAACCCUUCACAAUUAAUGAGAACUCUUCUACUGCGUGGACGUAGCCAAUAUGGGUGAACCACGUACAUAUUGUGUUUGCUUCCCUGUCUCUAUCAUUUACAUACUUAUCCACACUAGUGACCGGAGCAAUCUAGCGAAGGUCACAUACUUAACACUUUCUGUUGUACCAAAGUCCUCACUGAUUUUGUGCAUCAAAACAAUUCAUGUUGGUUUUUUUAUUGAAACCUAAUGUAAGCACCCUAUCCUUGGUUUAUAUGUGUUUAUAAUCUUCAAUGAAUAUCGUACUUAUGCUGAAAAUAAUUGUAUGGAUUAAGUAGUUAAUUAUAUAUAGACUAAAUAUUUAAGGCAUUAAUUAUUUAUAGAAUAAUAUUUCAGGUAUUAAUUAUUUAUAGAAUAAGUAUUUUAAGUAUUAAUUGUUUUUAGAAUAAAUAUUUUAUUCGUCACGAAAUAUUAUGAGUGACAAAAUCUUUGUCGAGUAAGGAAUCUUUGCGUAAUGAAUACAAGUAUUUGUCGCGCAAAGCACGGUCAGCAUGCAUUCAAACCUUCCAAUUAAUUGCGCAUUAAUGACGCAUUUUGCACGACGAAUAUUUUCGUCACGCAAAGUAUUCUAGU
rnacentral:lncRNA from 1 species